AGCAGCCGCCGCGGGAAUACGUAGGGGGCAAGCGUUGUCCGGAAUUAUUGGGCGUAAAGCGCGCGCAGGCGGUCAUGUAAGUCUGGUGUUUAAUCCCGGGGCUCAACCCCGGAUCGCACUGGAAACUGGGUGACUUGAGUGCAGAAGAGGAGAGUGGAAUUCCACGUGUAGCGGUGAAAUGCGUAGAGAUGUGGAGGAACACCAGUGGCGAAGGCGACUCUCUGGGCUGUAACUGACGCUGAGGCGCGAAAGCGUGGGGAGCAAACAGGAUUAGAUACCCCAGUAGUCCCUGUCUCUUAUACA
rnacentral:rRNA from 1 species